GGGGUUGUGGCUCAACGGUAGAGCGCUUGCCUAGCAUGUGCAAGGCCCUGAGUUCGAUCCUCAGCACCA
rnacentral:tRNA from 1 species